GGUAAGUGCGUCUCGGGUGAGCAUGCAAUGAAUUGCUCGCAUGUCACUCGGCCCACUACC
rnacentral:pre_miRNA from 1 species